UUUCAUAAUCUUCUUUCGUUCUAUCUACAACUUCUUCUUCAAUGACCAUUCCAAACUCAGCAGGCCAUAGUAGCACUGGAGCCUGCGGCAAAGCAACAUUUGAGUCCUCAGAGGGAAUUUUCAAGUAAGGAUAUUCCUCCAACACAAUCCGUUUAACAUCACUCGUAAGUUCAAUAAAACAUUCGUCAAUACUAGCCUUCUUAACCACAGGCGCAUGUUUCUUUAUGAUGUUAAGAAUCUUAACGCUUUCGUGCCGAUAAGGAUCUAAACAGGUUUUAUAGUAGUUAGGAUUUGGGUUUUCAUGGUACUUAGCCUCUGACUCCCCAGCUUUCCAAGUUUUUACAUGAGCGGUACAAAGCUCUGGACAUUUCUUUUUUGCUUCAGUAACUGUUUCAUGGCGUGAAAUAUUCGCUGCACGGGCUGCGUAGUUUACAGCAAUAAGCCCUUGCCAUUGUUGAACAGCAAGGGGAACUGAAUGGUCUAAUCCUAGGCGAACACUUUCGACUUGAGCGUAAAAAGCAUCCUGAUCAAUAUGAGCUACAACCCUUAACGGUGAAUUUUGUGUACCUGCUUUAUCACAAUAUUGCAAGUCCUUCCAAGAGAAUUUGCUUUUGCCUAAUUCCAUUCAGUUCAUACCCUCAAAAAAGUUCUUUAAUAAGAAUCGCUCAAGUUCUAUAGCGCGUUCGUGUUGAAUUUAGUGGACUAAGGUACUAGAUAUAGCAACGUUACCUACUACCAGAUACUAAAGCAAAAUAAAUUCAAACUCUCAUAAUGUUGUAACCAAAAUAAAUCAUCAAAGGAAAUUAGAUGUUAAACUUAAAAACUGAAUUGAGAGAAAACAUUCAGGAAUUUUAUUUAAGAGACUACUUUAAUAUGUAAACAUAUAUAUAAACACAAUGAAUAUACUGCCGCCAUGAAAGGUAUUGUAUAUGAUGAACAAUUAAGAUGAAAUUGCUGUUAACAAAGCUGCAAAAUAUUCAAAUGCUUCAAUUUAUUGCAUAUGAUGCUACCUCAUAGCAAAUUAAUCCUUCAUUCAUCAUUUUCAAAAUCUUCUCUUUUGGGCACCGACAUAUUUAACAUGUCCGUAUCACUAGUGGAUUUCAUAGAUUGUUCGUAACUUUUUAGUUUAUAGCUGUUGACUCUGGAUCGUAUCUUAUUAUCUAAUUUCGACCUUAUUGGGGAAUUGAACACAGCCAGAGCUAUCAAUAUAUAUAUAUGCACAAUAAAAUAUAGCUCUUUCCAAACGUGUAUUGAUUCUUUUAGAUUCAAAAGAAGGAAAGAGAUAAUUAGAUAGGAGAGAGAGAGGUUUGUUGCUACCAUACCAAUAACAUCAUAGACUCGCUUAAAAGGCCCAGGAGUUUCCAUAUCUGGUUUAAGGAAAAAUGGGCGAACAUGGCGACGCGUGUAUUUUGCAACUGUUUGGAUAAAGGCUGCGGAAACAAAAGUCAAAUAAUAUCCAGCAGAAACUCCAUGCCACAUUGCACUAACAGUGAAUGUGCUUAGCGUACUUUUGAACCCUGGACGCUUUCCCUUCUUUGCAACUCUCAAAUAAACGUAAUUUCGAAGCCAUUUAUUGGUAUUCAUGUUCCAAGCCUCAAGAGCACAUUUGAUAUUAUCUGCGAAUUCGAACUUAAUAGGGUCAAUAUUCUUCACUCGAUCCCAACGAGGAUGCUUAGAAGAAUCCAGGCCAUUAUAACCAAUGCCUGACAAUAUACAUGCACCGUCAGAAAGUUCCCAUGCGCCAUAAUAUUUCAUUCUUGCAACAAAAGCAGUUAUGCAAACGUAUCCAUAUUUUAGCAAAAUAGGGGAGGAAGCAAACUUAGGUGUAAGUAGAAACUUUAAAGGAUAGAUUGAGCUUCCGGUAAUAAAUAAAAUCAGCCACAACAGACCUCGCCAGCAACGACCUAAGGCUGGUUCCAAACUGUGUGGUGUUAUCUGUUUUUCAUAAGGAUCAGCCAAAGGCUUAAACAUAGAAAGGGUUAUAAACCUUUCGUAAUCAACAUAAUCAAAAGCUGGACCAACAAGUAAUGAGGGAAAGAAAAAUACGUAUCCAAGGAAAUACAAGAUAUUAGGAAUCUUUCUCAACGCGCGGUCUUUUUGAUAAGAAGAUAAUUCACUUGAAGGAAGACGACCGUCGUAAACAGACCAGGCAAACGCUGUAAGCUUCAUACAUAGUACCAUUUGUGAAGCAGUAAUAUCAGUAUUUUCUGAAGGGUAAAUGUACCGAAUAACAUGGCUGCUAAAUGUAUGGCCAAGGAUUACUAUAAAUAUGAUCCAUGGCAUUCGUGACGAUCGAUAAAACGCGGCCACGAAAUAUGUGAACAAAGCGUCAAAUAGCAAAACUAAAACGCCAUCGUAAAGAUGAUGAACACCAAUGAGAUAAAAUAAACCUAUGCUUAUUGAAAAUAAGUU